AGAAAGAAACAGGGAAUGAGCAUGCGUCGUGUUAUCGUUGAAAACAGCGGGAGAAGAGGGAAGCUCGAGUCAAGAGAAGAGGGUGUCGUCAUUGCAGAGCACACACGCGGGAUUCCUUCGAUAAGACUUGGGACACUCAGCGAAUUUUUCCAUCGACGGACGAUUUCAAUUUCGUCGUGGACAAAAGUCGGUCUCGCGAGACGACGGACGGUCUGUCUAGAUGGCCGUUGUCGAGAAUAAUUUUAGUGGCCGCCGUGCUUGGCGAUGAGUUUCCAAGUGUAACGAUGUGCGGGGAUGGAAGUUGAUGAUGAUCGGGCGAAUGGCUCGCGGAUAUCAUAACGGGAGAUCGAUUCGCGCACGGUGGCGAGGGGCACUCGACUUUCGGUGAGUGGGUCUCGAGAAGUUGCGGAUGUUGAUGAUGUUGGUGCUGUUGCUGCUGUUGCUGCUGCUGCUGCUGCUGCUGCUGCUGCUGUUGCUGGGAGACGAUCAUGUCGUAGUACAUUCCAGAGGGCGCAGACUGGUAGGAAACGAUCUGGGUUGCGGACUGAGGGCUUCCAUAAAGGCUGCUUCCAUAGCUGACUUGGGGCAUUCCGGCGUGGCUCAUCCUUAGCUCGCCGUACGUGUCUGUGCAAAUGUCGAAACGCAGAGUGAACGUAAAAAACCAAGGCUUGUUGCGUGGAUCGAGUUGUUACGGAUAGGGCGAUAAAAUGAAAGAUCGUAGACCAGUGGUUCCCAACCUGUGAGUCGCGAUCCACAAACAGCCGUUAAUUUUCGAUUAACGACUUUUCUUUCGAAACGAUUGCAUUCUUCUCCGUCGCAUAAAACUUUAUGCGAACAAUUAUCAAAGUUAUUUGAAACGAGAAGGUUCGCAACUCGGAGAAGUUGAGAAAUACUGGCCCGGCAGACCUACCGAUCCCAUUGCAAUUCGUACCGGGUUCUAAUUUUAAGCUAUUGUUGUUGUUGUUAUUGUUAUUGUUGUUGUUGUUGUUGUUGUUGUUGGCCGUGGUGAUGGUCGUGUUGUUAUUGCUCACUCCCGCUACAUUCCCGGCGAUCGGCGUGUCGCUAGACUUCAUCCCUCCCUUCGGCUUCCUCUUUCGCGUCUGAAUGCUGUCUUUCUUCAUAGUGUGAGGCCUGUUCACUCCGUGCAACUUGAAAUAAAGGCCGCACGCGUUGCAAACGGGCUCGCCCAAAGUGUUUCGACGCCAUAACGACGUCAUCGUCGUUUGACAAUUACUGCAAGAAGUGCCUACUCGUCUUGAAGCGGACUGCGGACACAUGAAAUCUCGUUAAAAACCGUGUUUACGAUUCUGUUCAUACUACGGGCGACGUUUGGACAAAAAAUUUGAACAAAAUAAGAGGAGGAGCAAGAGGAGGGGGAGGAGGAGGAGGAGGAGAGGUGGUAAAGAGGGAGAGCAACAGAAAUGAACAGGUAAAGGAGAAGUGGAAAACGAGCCAAAGUUUUUUUUUGACCCUUUCCCGACAGAGAUGAUAGAAUGGGAUGACAGAGGGCGGAUCCAAUGAAAAUAAGCAAAAAUAAA